GAAGAAAUUCGAGUGAAUGGAAAGGACAAAAUAAAGGAUAAAUUCCACUCUCACCUUACAGAGAGAGGCUAUAAAAAUAUUAAUACUAGUAAUUGUGAAAUUUAUGAUAAAAAAGAUUCUUAUCUGAAUAAUAAUAAUAAUAACACGGGUAAUCCAGAAAAUUUUAAAUUGCAAUUGCUUGAUAACGAAAAUGAAAAUCAAGACCUCUUCGGGUUUAAAAAACCUCUUGUGAGUAUUCUUUUCGAUUAUAAUCGGUGGAAUCGACCAUUUCGCUACAUAAAGAAUAAUCGAUUUGACCAAGCCGUAAAAACUGAAAUGUCACAAUAUUUUUUUGACACAUGUAAAAGUGAUGGAAAACAAAGAAUAUCUUUUACAUACCCGCCAAGUUUAUCAACUUUUUUGAAAAUGAUAAAAAGAAAGAUACCCCUAUUGUCACUCCAAAAAACGCUCCCUCAUGAACUGGACAAUCAGUGGGUUUCUACCAACAAAGAAAAAAGUAAUAAUUUGACUAAGGAAUUUUUAAAUCGACUUGAAGUUCUAGACUUGGAAUCUCUUUCUCUGGAUAUACUUGAAACAAGGACUAGAUUGUGUAAUGAUGAUACUAAAAAAGAAUACAUGCCUAAAAUGUACGAUCCUUUGUUAAAUGGACCAUAUCGAGAAACAAUCAAAAAACAAAAAACGCUCCCUCAUGAACUGGACAAUCAGUGGGUUUCUACCAACAAAGAAAAAAGUAAUAAUCUGAAUAAGGAAUUUUUAAAUCGACUUGAAGUUCUAGACAAGGAAUCUCUUUCUCUGGAUAUACUUGAAACAAGGACUAGAUUGUGUAAUGAUGAUACUAAAAAAGAAUACAUGCCUAAAAUGUACGAUCCUUUGUUAAAUGGACCAUAUCGAGGAACAAUCAAAAAAGGGGUUUCACCUUCAAUCAUAAACAAUAAUUCGCUAGAAAAUUUGAAAGAGAGAGUUAGACUAAAUAGGAUUCAUACUAUCUUUCUUCCGAAUACUGAUUACCAAGAAUUUGAACAAAAAGUGGAUACGAUUGAUAAAAAACCAUUAUCAACAGAAAUUGACGAGUUCUUAACUUUAAUCAAUGAAUUUGGUAAGGAACCAAAAUCGAGUUUAAAUUUGAAAGACCUUUCUUUAUUUUCAGACCAAGAACAGGUAAGAACGAAUUCAGAAAAAGGAACUAAAUUUUUAAAAUUUGUAUUCAACGCAAUUGAUCCUAAUGAGACAAAAUCUGGAAACAAAUCGAUUGGAAUAAACGAAAUCAGUAAAAAAAAACCUCGCUGGUCAUGUAAAUUAAUCACCGAAUUGGACCAACAAUUGGGUAAAUUUGAAGAUGGCCUAUCAGUAGAUUAUCAAAUUCGUUUAAGAAAAUUCAAACGUGUAGUUAUUUUUACUGCCAACAACGAGAAGAAGGAUCCUGAUGAGACCAACGAGGAAGUGCCUUUAAUAAUCUAUUCGCAACAAUCCGAUUUUCGGCGAGGUAUAAUUACAGGCUCUAUGCGGGCUCAAAGGCGAAAAACAGUUAUUUGGAAACUAUUUCAAGCAAAUGCGCAUUCCCCCCUUUUUAUCGACAGAAUAACCCCCCCCCGUCUUUUUUCUUUUGAUAUCUCUUGACUGAUUAAAACCAUUUUUCGAAAUUGGACAGGUAAAGAGGGAGAAUUCAAGAUUCUAGAGUCUAAAGAAGAACAAACAAAAAGAGAAGAGAAAAAAGAAAAGGACAAAAAAAAGGAGAACACCAGAAAGGAAAAAGCACGGCUAGCGGU
rnacentral:lncRNA from 1 species